AUCUAAUUUUUAUUAGCUUCGCUUGGAUUAUAUCGACCACUUUGGAAAACCUGGCAAUCACCGCUUCUUUGGCUUCUUUCUUCUUGCUCUUCUUGUUCUUAUCGGUGCCAGGCAGACACCUCCUUGAGAAACUUGGCAGAUGCAGGUUCUCUGUAUCAAAAACCAAUCUAGCAAUAGUUUAAAAGCUCCAGCGUCUGGAAAUUGCAGCUUCCCAGUUCCACCUUUUCGUUCCUUGCAGUUCCUGAUCUUAUCUUCGCACUUUCGCCAAUUUUUCUCUUUGGCUCAUUGUUUCUUAUAAAAAGAAGUUGAACUUGUAUAGCUGAUGGAUUCCAAAGAACCAAACAAGUGCUCUUACGCGGAAAAAAGAAAGGCUGCAAUGCAACUCAAACGGCGUGAUACGCAAAGCCAAAUAUCUGCUCAUAGCGGGGAAGCGAUGUUGCUAUCGCGACGCAUGAGAAGAAAACAUUCUACUAAGCACAGCCUUCUUCAAAGCCCGUUUUUUGCUGUCCCACAGCAAUCAACAUCAUCUUGGGACAAAGCAGGAUUUCUAAAACAAACUGCUCUUACCAUACGAGAACCUCCUCCACUUCCUGAAAAAGAUUAUAUUGUUUUACUCAUAUUUACACACCAUAUAUUAUUAAUGCAAUGGUGCUUAUGUAUUUUGCUUGGAAACUUAGUAUGAUACUUUAUUUAUCUUA